GACGAACGCUGGCGGCGUGCCUAAUACAUGCAAGUCGAGCGGACUAAUGGGAGCUUGCUCCCGUUAGUUAGCGGCGGACGGGUGAGUAACACGUGGGCAACCUACCUGUAAGACUGGGAUAACUUCGGGAAACCGGAGCUAAUACCGGAUGACAUAAAGGAACUCCUGUUCCUUUAUUGAAAGAUGGCCUCGGCUAUCACUUACAGAUGGGCCCGCGGCGCAUUAGCUAGUUGGUGAGGUAACGGCUCACCAAGGCGACGAUGCGUAGCCGACCUGAGAGGGUGAUCGGCCACACUGGGACUGAGACACGGCCCAGACUCCUACGGGAGGCAGCAGUAGGGAAUCUUCCGCAAUGGACGAAAGUCUGACGGAGCAACGCCGCGUGAGCGAUGAAGGCCUUCGGGUCGUAAAGCUCUGUUGUUAGGGAAGAAUAAGUGCUAGUUGAAUAAGCUGGCACCUUGACGGUACCUAACCAGAAAGCCACGGCUAACUACGUGCCAGCCGCCGCGGUAAGAC
rnacentral:rRNA from 1 species